UCGAAUGCAUUUAGUUGCAUGGCAAACGGGGUAGUAACACGUAGGAACGUACCUUCAAGUCGGGCAUAACCUGGAGAAAUCCAGAAUAAUUCCCGAUAGUCUCGCAAGAGUAAAGAUUUAUCGCUUGAAGAGCGGCCUGCGCAGUAUCAGCUUGUUGGUGUGGUAAUGGCACACCAAGGCUACGACGCUUAGGGGAGGUGAGAGCCUGACCCCCACCAUUGGAACUUAGACACGGUCCAAACUCCUACGGGAGGCUGCAGUCGAGAAUCUUCCGCAAUGUACGAAAGUAUGACGGAGCGAUGCCGCGUGAUGGAUGAAGCACUUCGGUGCGUAAACAUCUUUUAUAGAGGAGGAAGUUUAUUGACGUUACUCUAUGAAUAAGAGGCUCCUAAUCACGUGCCAGCAGGAGCGGUAAUACGUGAGCCUCGAGCGUUACCCGGAUUCACUGGGCGUAAAGGGUGUGUAGGCGGCCUAGUUAGUCGCGCGUUAAAGCCUGGGGCUUAACCCCAGAAUCGCGCGCGAAACGGCUAAGCUAGAGGAUGCGAGAGGUCUGUAGAACUCAUGGUGUAGGGGUGAAAUCCGUUGAUAUCAUGGGGAAUACCAAAAGCGAAGGCAGCAGACUGGCGCAUUUCUGACGCUCAG
rnacentral:rRNA from 1 species